CACGUAGGGUGCGAGCGUUGUCCGGAAUUAUUGGGCGUAAAGAGCUCGUAGGCGGUGUGUCGCGUCGGCCGUGAAAACCUGCAGCUUAACUGUGGGCUUGCGGUCGAUACGGGCAUCACUGGAGUUCGGCAGGGGAGACUGGAAUUCCUGGUGUAGCGGUGAAAUGCGCAGAUAUCAGGAAGAACACCCGUGGCGAAGGCGGUUCUCUGGGACGGUACUGACGCUGAGACGCGAAAGCGUGGGGGAGCGAACAGG
rnacentral:rRNA from 1 species